GAGAGUGCCACAAUUAUAAUACGACAGAGGGAGAAGUCAUGGCGAUGGUUUUCCUAUACUAUUUUCUAUAACUGAACAGAAUGAAUAUGAAUGUGGCAAAAUCUUUGUGUAAAAAUAACAGAAAUCAUCAACGAUCCAAACUGGAAUGCAGCUAUUGGAGCAGUUCAAUGCAGACAUCUGUGUUUACUGAAACAGCGGCAGAAAGUCGUUCCCCGCUGUAGUAACUGCUUUUGAAGUUGACAAAUAGUAUAGAUAGCAGUUGUCCGGAUGGCCAGAAAAUGUUUUUUCAAUCUGAUGCAGCAGUAAUAACGUUGGGAUAACUUGACACUGCAUCGAUGCCAUUUUGCUUAAUAAAGGUACGCCAUCAAACAUCAGUUUUAUGAGCCAUCUAUCGAUGUCAGAUUUUUGGAUGCGAAAAAAUAUUUCUUUAAGAUGACAUGAAAUACCCAAGGACAGAAUAGACAUGCUCUGACCUUAACCACUAUCCAGAAGUUUGGAGCCAUGCUUGCUAGCAAGAACUAGUGAUAACGUCUGUUUGCAUCACUUUACUUACUAAAUACUACUGUGAUGAAAGAGAAUGUCAUGAAUCAACGAGGUCAACUCAUCUGCAUUUGAUACUACAGCAGUGCACUGAAGAAAGAAUACAGCCGAAGGCGUUGAUUUAAACAGACUACGGUGCUCCCUAUCUGUGGAAAGAAUGGCCUUUUCAGUUCCAGCUACAAAUUCUACAUACAGAGUAUGUCUAGAUUCCCAGGAAAGAACGGUACCGAAGUGAUUUCGAUAUUGACACGAGUUGGCCAAAAUGAUCGCGAUAUAACGGAUGGCAUCCAGAAUCUUCAUCAAGCGAAUAUUAGAAUUCGGAGCCUUAGUAAUGAAAUAUUGGAUGGCGAUCCAACAGACGCAGCUUGUAAAAUUCUGAUAUUAGACCAAACCCAAAAUGUGCCCAAAUUCUGGGCCAAAAUAUUAUCGAUGAUCUGCAUAGUGGAAAUGUAUAUGUAGUUAAACAUUACUUGAGGAUAUCAAUACAUCUCUGAAAUGCUUUAUUCUUCUAUUUUAAGGGAUUGAAUAUUUAUAUAUUUUUGGAGAAUUCUUUCAACCAAUUCAGCAAUUCUUUUUGAACUUGGAAAAGGUUG